GCUAAUCUCUUAAAGCCGUUCUCAGUUCGGACUGUAGGCUGCAACUCGCCUACACGAAGUCGGAAUCGCUAGUAAUCGCGGAUCAGCAUGCCGCGGUGAAUACGUUCCCGGGCCUUGUACACACCGCCCGUCACACCAUGGAAGUUUGCAAUGCCCAAAGUCGGUGGCCUAACCAUUUGGAGGGAACCGCCUAAGGCAGGGCAGAUGACUGGGGUGAAGUCGUAACAAGGUAUC
rnacentral:rRNA from 1 species